rnacentral:rRNA from 1 species
CCUACGGGGGGCAGCAGUGAGGAAUAUUGGUCAAUGGACGAGAGUCUGAACCAGCCAAGUAGCGUGAAGGAUGACUGCCCUAUGGGUUGUAAACUUCUUUUAUAUGGGAAUAAAAUGUUCCACGUGUGGGAUUUUGUAUGUACCAUAUGAAUAAGGAUCGGCUAACUCCGUGCCAGCAGCCGCGGUAAUACGGAGGAUCCGAGCGUUAUCCGGAUUUAUUGGGUUUAAAGGGAGCGUAGGUGGAUUGUUAAGUCAGUUGUGAAAGUUUGCGGCUCAACCGUAAAAUUGCAGUUGAAACUGGCAGUCUUGAGUACAGUAGAGGUGGGCGGAAUUCGUGGUGUAGCGGUGAAAUGCUUAGAUAUCACGAAGAACUCCGAUUGCGAAGGCAGUUCACUGGACUGCAACUGACACUGAGGCUCGAAAGUGUGGGUAUCAAACCGGAUUAGAUACCCCAGUAGUC